rnacentral:rRNA from 1 species
GACGAACGCUGGCGGCAUGCCUAACACAUGCAAGUCGAGCGGACUGAUGGGAGCUUGCUCCCUGAAGUCAGCGGCGGACGGGUGAGUAACACGUGGGUAACCUGCCUGUAAGACUGGGAUAACUCCGGGAAACCGGGGCUAAUACCGGAUAGUUCUUUUCCUCGCAUGAGGAAAAGUGGAAAGGCGGCUUCGGCUGCCGCUUACAGAUGGACCCGCGGCGCAUUAGCUAGUUGGUGAGGUAACGGCUCACCAAGGCAACGAUGCGUAGCCGACCUGAGAGGGUGAUCGGCCACACUGGGACUGAGACACGGCCCAGACUCCUACGGGAGGCAGCAGUAGGGAAUCUUCCGCAAUGGACGAAAGUCUGACGGAGCAACGCCGCGUGAGUGAUGAAGGUUUUCGGAUCGUAAAGCUCUGUUGUUAGGGAAGAACAAGUGCCGUUCGAAUAGGGCGGCGCCUUGACGGUACCUAACCAGAAAGCCACGGCUAACUACGUGCCAGCCGCCGC